GCCAAGUGUGGUUGUGGGCACCUGUAAUCCCAGCCACUCAGGAGGCUGAGGCAGGAGGAUCCCUUGAACCUGGGAGGCACAGGUUGCAGUGAGCCAAGAUCGCGCCACUGCACUCCAGCCUGAGUAGACAGAGUGAAACUCUAACUCAAAAAAAAAAAAAAAAAGAUUAAGUCUCGCUCUUGCUCUUGUCUCCCAGGCUGGAGUGCAGUGGUGUGAUCUCAGCUCACUGCAACCUCCGCCUCCCGGGUUCAAGGGAUCCUCCUGCCUCA
rnacentral:sRNA from 1 species